rnacentral:rRNA from 1 species
GGGUUGUGAGGUUAAGCGACUAAGCGUACACGGUGGAUGCCCUGGCAGUCAGAGGCGAUGAAGGGCGUGCUAAUCUGCGAUAAGCGCCGGUAAGGUGAUAUGAACCGUUAUAACCGGCGAUACCCGAAUGGGGAAACCCAGUGUGAUUCGUCACACUAUCAUUAACUGAAUCCAUAGGUUAAUGAGGCGAACCGGGGGAACUGAAACAUCUAAGUACCCCGAGGAAAAGAAAUCAACCGAGAUUCCCCCAGUAGCGGCGAGCGAACGGGGAGGAGCCCAGAGCCUGAAUCAGCAUGUGUGUUAGUGGAAGCGUCUGGAAAGGCGCGCGAUACAGGGUGACAGCCCCGUACACAAAAGCGCAUGUGCUGUGAGCUCGAUGAGUAGGGCGGGACACGUGGUAUCCUGUCUGAAUAUGGGGGGACCAUCCUCCAAGGCUAAAUACUCCUGACUGACCGAUAGUGAACCAGUACCGUGAGGGAAAGGCGAAAAGAACCCCGGCGAGGGGAGUGAAAAAGAACCUGAAACCGUGUACGUACAAGCAGUGGGAGCACCCUUUGGGUGUGACUGCGUACCUUUUGUAUAAUGGGUCAGCGACUUAUAUUCUGUAGCAAGGUUAACCGUAUAGGGGAGCCGUAGGGAAACCGAGUCUUAACCGGGCGUUAAGUUGCAGGGUAUAGACCCGAAACCCGGUGAUCUAGCCAUGGGCAGGUUGAAGGUUGGGUAACACUAACUGGAGGACCGAACCGACUAAUGUUGAAAAAUUAGCGGAUGACCUGUGGCUGGGGGUGAAAGGCCAAUCAAACCGGGAGAUAGCUGGUUCUCCCCGAAAGCUAUUUAGGUAGCGCCUCGUGAAUUCAUCUCCGGGGGUAGAGCACUGUUUCGGCUAGGGGGCCAUCCCGGCUUACCAACCCGAUGCAAACUGCGAAUACCGGAGAAUGUUAUCACGGGAGACACACGGCGGGUGCUAACGUCCGUCGUGAAGAGGGAAACAACCCAGACCGCCAGCUAAGGUCCCAAAGUCAUGGUUAAGUGGGAAACGAUGUGGGAAGGCCCAGACAGCCAGGAUGUUGGCUUAGAAGCAGCCAUCAUUUAAAGAAAGCGUAAUAGCUCACUGGUCGAGUCGGCCUGCGCGGAAGAUGUAACGGGGCUAAACCAUGCACCGAAGCUGCGGCAGCGA